UGGGGAAUAUUGCACAAUGGACGAAAGUCUGAUGCAGCGACGCCGCGUGAGGGAUGACGGCCUUCGGGUUGUAAACCUCUUUCAGUAGGGAAGAAGCGUUAUAGUGACGGUACCUGCAGAAGAAGCACCGGCUAACUACGUGCCAGCAGCCGCGGUAAUACGUAGGGUGCAAGCGUUGUCCGGAAUUAUUGGGCGUAAAGAGCUCGUAGGCGGUUGGUCACGUCUGCUGUGAAAGCCCGGGGCUCAACUCCGGGUCUGCAGUGGGUACGGGCUAACUAGAGUAUGGUAGGGGAGAUUGGAAUUCCUGGUGUAGCGGUGGAAUGCGCAGAUAUCAGGAGGAACACCGAUGGCGAAGGCAGAUCUCUGGGCCAUUACUGACGCUGAGGAGCGAAAGCAUGGGUAGCGAACAGGAUUAGAUACCCUGGUAGUCCAUGCCGUAAACGUUGGGCACUAGGUGUGGGGCCAGUUCCACUGGUUCUGCGCCGUAGCUAACGCAUUAAGUGCCCCGCCUGGGGAGUACGGCCGCAAGGCUAA
rnacentral:rRNA from 1 species